AUGUCGCGCCUCCAUCCCCGCUACUUCUCCAGCUCCGUCUCCUCACUCGCCGACGAGCUGCUGAGCGAAUUCCAGCAUCAUCUGGGCUCAGGGACGCUCAGUCCGCAGCUCGCACACCAACUGUUCGACGGCUUGCUGCGCCAACCAGUCCCAGUAUCAGCGCGUGCACUCAAUGGCUUAUUUGCUGCCCUCGCGCGAACGCCGCCCUCCACCACCUGCGCAGAUGGCCCUGCCCGCGCCAUCGAUCUCUUCAACCGCAUGGCCCGAGCAGGCCGCCGCCGCAGGGUGAUAGCACCCACCAGUCACACCUACAGCAUACUAAUUGAAUGCUGCUGCCUUGCACGCCGUCCGGACCUUGGGCCUUCCUUCUUCGCUCACCUCCUCAAGACAGGCGUCACGGCAGACGUCGUCAUCUUCAGUGGCUUAUUCAAGUGCCUUUGUGACAUGAAGCGCACGGAGGAGGCUCUGGAUGUGCUGCUUCAUAGGGUGCCUCACGACCUGCCUAAUGUCAUCUCCUACUCACUCAGUCAUGGACUACUUUGCAAGCAUGGAAGAAUCAAAGAAGCUGAGGAAAUAUUUUAUUCCAUGGCCGUGAAUGGCCGAAAACCAGAUAUAGUCUCAUACCCUAUUAUGCUCCAUGGGUAUGCUAUAGAAGGAUCCCUUGUUAAAAUGAUUGAUCUCUGUGAGCUGAUGGCAGGAGAUCGUAUCAUACCCAACGUCCGUUGUUUCAACAUACUGAUUAAUGCAUAUGCUAAGCAUGGCAUGAUGGAUGUGGCCAUGCUUUUCUUUGAAGAGAUGUUGAAGCAGGGUGUGAACCCUAAUGAAUUCACUUAUUUAACUGUAAUAUCUGCAUUUUGCAAGAUGGGCAGGAUGGAUGAUGCUAUGCAAAAGUUCAAUGAGAUGAUUGAUAUGGGAGUACCACCUGACACAGAAGUUUACAUGUGCAUGGUUGAGGGUUAUUUGAAUCAUGUUGACUCCAUGAAAGCCAACAAAUUUAUUACCAAAAUGAAGAACAGGGAUAUUCAUCAUAGGCCGCGGAAAGAUGUGCAAUCUCUGUGGUUGUUCUACCAUAGAUCCAUCUAUCCUUCCCAAAGUAGGCAGCAUUUCCAUUCCCAGCCUUCAUCUGAAGCAAGCAGAAAGAUUAAUGCUGACAAGAUCCCCGAGCCGAGGACUGACACGAUUGGCGAGCAGUUUAGAGAAGAGUUUCAGGGAACUAUGGACAAGGUUGAUGGGGCGUCAGAUAUCUUCGGGAUCAAGAUAGCACGCCAGUCAGGGGAUGUUGGUGGUGUCGAUGACCAUGACCUGCGCGCCGGGGCGGAUCCCAUCUAUCAGCGUGAGCACGCCGCAGCAGCCCACCUCGCCGUGCGUCUUCUCGUGGUUGGGCGCGAUGGCGUCGACCUCGUCCAUGAAGAUGAUUGA
rnacentral:rRNA from 1 species